UACAGAGGGUGCAAGCGUUAAUCGGAAUUACUGGGCGUAAAGGGCGCGUAGGCGGAAGACUAAGUUGUAUGUGAAAUCCCUGGGCUUAACCUAGGAACUGCAUAUAAGACUGGUUAACUGGAGUGCGGUAGAGGGUAGUGGAAUUUCCGGUGUAGCGGUGAAAUGCGUAGAUAUCGGAGGGAACACCAGUGGCGAAGGCGGCUACCUGGACUGACACUGACGCUGAGGCGCGAGAGCGUGGGGAGCAAACAGG
rnacentral:rRNA from 1 species